rnacentral:rRNA from 1 species
CCUACGGGAGGCAGCAGUGAGGAAUAUUGGUCAAUGGACGAGAGUCUGAACCAGCCAAGUAGCGUGAAGGAUGACUGCCCUAUGGGUUGUAAACUUCUUUUAUAUGGGAAUAAAACGUUCCACGUGUGGGAUUUUGUAUGUACCAUAUGAAUAAGGAUCGGCUAACUCCGUGCCAGCAGCCGCGGUAAUACGGAGGAUCCGAGCGUUAUCCGGUUUUAUUGGGUUUAAAGGGAGCGUAGGUGGAUUUUUAAGUCAGUUGUGAAAGUUUGCGGCUCAACCGUAAAAUUGCAGUUGAAACUGGCAGUCUUGAGUACAGUAGAGGUGGGCGGAAUUCGUGGUGUAGCGGUGAAAUGCUUAGAUAUCACGAAGAACUCCGAUUGCGAAGGCAGUUCACUGGACUGCAACUGACACUGAGGCUCGAAAGUGUGGGUAUCAAACAGGAUUAGAUACCCCUGUAGUC